rnacentral:pre_miRNA from 1 species
ACGGGUUUCGCUGAUAUCGCACAGUUCUUUUAAUGUCUCUGUUCGUUGUCAACGAAACCUGCGG